CUAAGUAGAAUAGUCAAACCGUAAUAUUCUUCUGGCCAAUUGAGAAAAAGGAAGGCAAAGCAGAAUUGCUGAAUAUGGUGCCCAGCUAUUAGAGUAAUAUCUACUACUCUUAGUUUCUCAUCAUUCGUGACCAGCCUUGAGUGUACUAUUUAAAUACAUUGCUGUUUUAUUAUGCUAAAUUUCAAACACUAGCUAGAGAAUAGUAUGGUGAACCACCCAUGUACUCAUCCAGCUUUAACAAUGUCUAUGUGCCUAUCCACUUUGUUUUCCAGAUAACUAUGAAAGAAAUUCUAGACAUUUCAGCUCAAGAUAUUUCAAUGUAUACCUCUGAAAAACAUGUUGUGUCCUUAAUCUAUAGAGUCUCCUUUUUUUUCCGUUGUGAUGUAUUUGUUGAGGUUAACUGUUGAGUAGUUGCCUAGUCUUGAUUUUGCUGAUUGCAUUCUCAUGGUGUCAUUUAGUGUGGUGUUCUGUCCCCUGCAUUUCCUGUAAAUUGAUAGAUGUAGAGCAAUGGUUCUCAAAGUGUGGCUCCUGGGCCAAUAGCAUCAGCAUCUCAUGGGACCUUGUUAGAAGUGCAUUUUCUCAAAUCCCAUCCCAGACUCACUGAGUCAGAAACAGUAAGUGGAGCCCAGCCAUAGGUGUGUGUGUGUUUGUUUAUUGGUGAGGAAAAUGGCCCUGAGCUAACAUCUGUGCCAGCCUUCUUCUGUUUUGUAUUUGGGACACCACCAUAGUGUGGCUUGACGAGUAGUGUGUAGGUCCAUGCCCAGGAUCCAAACCUGCGAACCCUGGGCCACUGAAGCUGAGUGCUCAAACUUAACCACUAUGCCACUAGGCCAACCCCAGCCCUAGAUCUUUUAAGAAGCCUUCCAGGUGAUUCUGGCGCAUGCUAAAAUUUGAGACCCAUUGUUCUAGAGGCUCUAUCAGAUUGCAGUUCUUUUUUUUUUUUUUUUUUUUUGAUCAUCUUGGCAGCCAUUGGUGAUUUUGCCUAGAUCCAUUAAACCAUGAACCCAUGAUUGUAAACAUUUUUUUCAUUCUAUUGCAGUUCUCCUUAUUGAUGUUGCCUUAGUCUGUCUUUGGUCACUGGGAGUCAAAGUGCCUCCUGAGUUCUUUUCAAACAACCCUAAUAAUCUUACCAGCUUCCUUGCUUUCUGGUAUGGUGAGACAUCCAGGCUCAUCUUUCUAGUCCCAGACCUAGAAUCAGCCAUUUUUCCAACAAGCCAUAGUUAUUUUUAUUUGGAAAUGAUAUUUAGCAACCACAGUCUGGGCCCUUGGGGUGUUCAUUGCAACUAGUUUGGUCUCUCUCAGGCCAUACAGAUCAUGUUAUUUUCUGCUCCUGCGAAGGUCCUCUCCAAGUUAAACAUCCCCUCAACCCUGCUUGCAGCAGUUCUGAAUCCCCUGACUCUCUCAGUUGUCUUCCUGUACUGUGAUUUGAACUUUGGCCUCCUUGCCCUAAUAGAUGCUCAGCUGACUUCUGGACCAAUUCUUGUAUAGGAAUGAGGAAACUCUCUUCAGUACCCUG
rnacentral:lncRNA from 1 species